AGGGCAUCCAAGCCCCCCGAACGACAACGCAUCCGCCCGCCCCAUCCUCCCUCCCUCGCGCAGCAGCCAAACCCUCCCUCCCUCCCCUUCGCCGCCGCCGAUGGCCGCCGCGGCGGAGAAGACGGCCGAGGAGAUCCGCCGCGAGCUCCAAGAGCUGCAGCGCCAGCACCGCGAGAUCAGCGAGCGCCUGCGCGACCCCCGAGGCCUCCGACGCGGCGCCCCCGCCACCGGCCCCGGCCCCGGCCCCGGAGGCCCCCGCCCGCUCCGCGGCUUCGCCAGACCCGCCCCGGAGCCGGUGGACCAGCCCGAGCCCAAGCGCCGGCUUCUUUCUGCCGUGGUUAAAGUGGAUGGCCCUGGAACUAAUGGGGAUGAUGCGGCGGCGGAGGGGCGUGAGGAUGGACCAAAUGCUGCUCAAGGUGGUGAGAGGAGGGGAGCCAGUAAUGGUGGGUUCAGGAGGGAUGGGAGCCAGUGGGUAUCCAGGAGGGAGCUUGAUAAUCAGCUGCCAGAGCCUCUCCCGAGGCCGGCUCCCAAGGAAGAGGAUCAGAGCUUGGUGAGGAGGAACAAGAGAAUGCUGGGGAAGCUUCUUGUUGGCACGCUAGAGAAAUUUCAGCAGGAGAACAAAAAACUUUCCAACUCAGAGGCUUUUAUGCGUAGAUCAGAGGCUCAGCAGAAGGCUGAUCAAAAGGCUCGUGAGGACAGUGAAAGAUUGCGGCAGCAAGAACGGGAGCAAGCAGCUGAGAAGCGUAGGCGUGAUAUGACGCUCCGUGCUCGAGUAGCUGCUAAGGCAGAAGAAAAGAGGUUGGAGCUAUUGUACAUUCAGUGGUCUGAGCAUCACAAAAAGCUGUCCAGUUUCUUAAGGACAAAAGCUGAACCAGCUAUUUAUUACAUGCCGGCUAAACCAAUAGUUGAUGAUCCGGUUAUUGUUGAGCAAAACAAGGAAAAGGUAUUUGAAGAAUGGAAAUCUGUACGCAGAACGGAGCUGACCCAGUUCCAAAAGCAAGUUGAGGAGCAGUAUCUGUCUAAUGUUGAGAGGCAGCUGGAAAGGAUUCAGAAUGCCCGGAAUGCUCGGAGGGGGAACGUGCCUGCUAACAUGCAGGAAAUGGACAAGGAGCUUGACACGCACAGGGCGGAGCAUGGCCCAAAGGCUCGGCGGAUCCCCGACGGUGGCAAUGACGAGGAUGAUGAUGUGGACGUGGACGACAUGGCCGCGGAAGACGACCUGAUGGAUGAAGUGCUCGGCGUCAAUGAGGCGAUCAACGAGGACCCAGGCAAGCCGUCUGAGGAGGCCACUGAUGUUGCGCCUGUACCCGAGCAGGCACAAUAGGCAAGGUUAUUUGCGAGGUAGGCACUCAGGCAUUACGAUUCUAUAUCGUUGUAGUUGCCCUCUUCUGCUGUGACUGUAUUGUUGUUGGGUUUUUGUCUUUGGGAAUGCUGUGAGCUGUGUUUGCUGUUGAGGCCAUAUACAUACUUUUCAUUAUUGUUAUUGUCAUUUGUACGUACUCCGCGUAAGGUAAGUGUCAACCCGUGAAAACAGUCAUCAUGUGAUCAACCUGUUCUUCACCUGCGCCAUCAGCGUACAGGGGUUGAGCUACUGUUGAUGACGUUGAUCGCUGUACAUUCAAGUUGUAUGCUUGGUAAACCUCUUUUAUUGUGCCAAU
rnacentral:rRNA from 1 species